rnacentral:lncRNA from 1 species
UUUUUUUUUUUUUUUUUUUUUUUUUUGGUCUCCUAACUAGUACCAUGAUAACUUAGAAAUGGAUGGUUUUAAACCAACAAGAAUACCCAUAUCUAAAUACUACCUACUUUUUAGCACCCUCAACUAACAUAAAAGGUGGUCUAGAGUGUGCAGAUACAUGGAAAUAUAUUUACUGAAAUCCUGGUGCACACCACAGAUGCUGUGUACAGCUUGCUCUGUGCUGCUGUCUGAGAUACCCCAGGGUCUGAUGCACUUCAGUCAGCAGCAGAGAGGAGCCUGACUCUCAGCACACUGCAGAAAGUGCAAAACACAACUGCUCCUCAAGCAAUGAAGCAAUUUAUUCCCCAGCUCAGCAAAAGGCAUUAUCAGCACCUAUAACUCUCAUGUUUGCAACUUCCAGAUCUUGUUAGAUAGUCUUCUGGGGUCAUUUUUUAAGCUUCCCAGGAUGCACACAUUAGUUGUGAUCCUUUCACAGAAUUUGUGCUAUGGUAGGCCUCAUCAUUCCCUCAAAAGUCAAAUUUUAGACAGGAAGUUUAACAAUUACUUUUUUUUGGGGGGAGAAUGAUUUUUACUCAAGAUGUAUCAUUCCUCUGUAAGUAUUUAAAUUUUCAAAAUAUGCCCAUAUACACUGAAGGUUUGAAGGUUUAUCUCAGUUUUAGAUUUAUUUAAUAGUUUUCAUACAUUGAAAACUUCUUUAAAUGCUUGAAAUUCACAUAAAUCAUUUCAGCAAUGUAAAAUAAAAAUUUUAUAGACCUGAGUGUGCAUAGCAAGUAAAAAUGAUGAAAAUUAGUAUUUCAGGUAUCACACAAAUAAAAGUUACCCCAAAUCCCUGCAUCCAAGGCAUCUCCUGCAGAAUAAAAAAGGGCUUAAGUUCCUAUGUCAGAUCACUUCCUACCAUAGGAAACUCCCGGGGAUGUUACACUGAAUUGUUUGCUUCACAAGUCUGAAAUGAUUACUCACUCAUGCUCACUUAAAUAAGUAGAAGAUAAUUGCAUCCUGCCUAUCAGAUAGAAAGUGUUAAACCUUUGGAAACUAUUGGACUACUGAUAAAACUAACCAGUAGGUUGGGAAGGAAAUAUUUUUGCUGCCUUCACUUUUUAUUGAAGGAGUAUUUUUACAGAUGCAGUGUCUAAAGCAGAGGUUCCAGCAGCCCACACCAUCCUAGGAAGAGGGAAGCAGAGCCAAAGUGCUUUUACCAAUUUUGACAGAGCUUGACUUUCUUUUCACAAGAUUCUUUUUCUGCCCUCUUGCCUCUGGGUGAGCUCAUGAUUCCCUUCUCAGAAGAUCUGUAGAUCUAAUAACUCUAAGCCUCAGCAAAUCCCGUGAUAAGAGGAGGAGCUUAUUCUUUCACCUGGCUGCACCUUGAGGACAAGGAAGACUAUUCAUCUGCAGAACAAGUGCACUACAGUACUUGCAAUGUUCUUCCUGGCUUUCUGCCAGAUUCCCACUGAGGCUACACACACCCUCUAGGCUAAAAUAGGAUAUUCCUAAGGAAGAAGUGGUUAAUUAUAUUAUAAAAGCUUCAAAUGUCAUUUCGAAGAACAAUAAAGAUUGUCUGAAAGACUGCCUACCUGUACAGAAUCCUGUCAUAUGAUACAUAUCCUAGUUCCAAUGCUUGCAUUUAGUCUCUGUUAAAAAUAAAUCAUUCAUCCAGCUGCUAAUGUACUUCUUGGUUCAGUGACAACUGCUCACUUGGUCAGGCUUUACGAGCAAAGAGCUGUUAUCUGUAAAACAGGACUGCAAUAGAUAAGGUCUUUCUUUUUUAGUUUUGUUUACUACACAUCUGUGUAACAAUAAAAUUUAAGGUAGUCAGGCUACUAAGAAGGGAUUUUUUUUUUUUUUGUUAGUGUAUCAAAAUACCACAAAAAAUUGCAGAAAUCCAAGAAGUGUUAGAGCGGUCUGGUUUCUUUAGGUGCAUUGGUACAUAUCUGUAAUUUCUAGGUGGAGCCAUCCCCUGAUAAUUGGGUAAUUUUCAUUGUUUUUUUCCUCAAGUACUGGUUCUUAAUUUGAUUCUGAUUUCUACAUUCAUCACUUUCUCACUCUUCCAUCUUUCCAGCAGUCAACUUUUACAGCUAUUCUAAAUUCUGUGUCAGUAACAUUCAUUUGAAAAUUUUGUCAGAAAGUAGCAACAGAAUAAGCAAUUGAUCUGCUGAGUAUUUUUAACAAAAUAUUGAUAGAAAACCCUCCUGCACUUUGGUCCAUGCAAACCAGAAGCCACCACUGCCCACGAGUUUUUGGGUUUUUUUUGAGUUAGGUAAUCAUGGCUAACCAUGCCAUGAGUGAAGAAAAACUGGAAAAGCAGAAAAUGUGAGGGUCUGGAUCAAGUGUGGACAAAUCACUAGUUCCAUCUGCUAAGAAAUGAUGUUCAGCACAGUUUGCUGCUGUUGAGCAUUAUCCAGGGGCAUAAGACCUGCCAAAGGAAGUGAGAGGGAGGAAUGUUUUAAUGGAAAACUUUCUGAAAAGCAGACUGAAAGCAAAAGGUCACUGAGUUGAUUUUUUUGAAAGAGAUAGUUACUGGAAAGGGGCAGACAACAUGAAAUUGAGCAAUUAGACAGGCAUGGAGAACCAGGGAAGUUUUUUCAGAUGGAGACUGCAACUGAGAUUUUGCAAGGAAGACUGGUAGGGAAAGGUUAUUUAGCUACAUGAAUAAGAGGAAAACAAUUUCAGGAAAAAUGGAUCCAGUAUGGUUUCUGAAGGAAGCAAAUAUAUUUACUUUAAGAUGGAACUCAGGGAGUUAAUGAAAAGUGUAUAUUUGGUGUGGUAUUUAGGGGAUUUAUGGAAGAUUUAUAUACAUAUUCAGGAAGACUGGGACAGAAAUAAUAUAAGGAUUUAGAAAUAAUAGCAUUUAAAAAUCUAAAUUAUGAACCAGCAAUGUGUCAUUGUAGAAAGAAGACAAAUAUUAUCUUGUGCUGCAUUAGGCUGAGCAUUUUCUACAGCUUGAGAGAGCCGAUCCUUCCAUUCUGCUCCAGCCUUGAAGAUACUCAAAACCAAAUGGACACCGUCCUGAGCAACCUGCUCUCACUGAGUCAGCUUUCAGCAGAAAUUUGGACCAGAGGAUCUUCACAGGUGCCUUCCUGCCUCAGCUGGUCUGUGAUCCUAAACAGGGAGGAGGCAGAAAACACAGCAUUUGGUACAACAAUCAACAAAUAUUUCUCUGCAAAUGUUUGCUGCUGCUGCAGCAUAAAAGAGCAUUGAUGUGUGAAUACAAUACAAUCAAAUACAGAAAUAUGUGUGACAGUAAGCACAAUGACACAAUAGACAAAAGCUGGAUAUAAAACUAGACAAAGAAGUAGCAGAAUAACCACAAAGGAAGAAAAUGGAAACUAAAGGUAAAGAAAGUUUUUUUUCCUCAAAGGAACAUUUCAUAUUUGAGAAUUGGGGCUGCAUUGGCAAAAAUGCCAAAAUCCUCUGUUUCUGAAUGAGAUAUAUAAAUAUUACAUGACUAAUUUUCUCAACUGCAAAAAUGACUUAAUAGCAAGCAUGGGUUUACAUAACAUUUCCAGGAAAACAAGACAAUCUCCUGGAUUUUAUUACACAAAAGGUGAAAAAAUUCAAGUGAUUUCAGUAACCAUUAAACAAAACACCAAAGACUGUGGCCACAGACCAAAUAAUUACAUUUCCAUAGUGUGAAGUAUGAAUGCUAGCAUCAAAAAUCCCAAAUGACCAGAGAAAUUUCUGAAAACCAGUAAGGGGCAGGAAACUUAUAGAUCAGGACAGUGUGGAUUACUCCUAAAUCAGUAUUAAGGAAUGUUUGUAUCUUUCUGGGCAUCACAGAAAUGUUGGAAAGAUGUAAGGCUGUAAUGUCAAGUAAAAUGGGUUAUUUUCUUUCUUUUUUUCAUAAAAUUGUUUAUUUUUUAUUUCAUCUUAGGUAGCUGGCAUCUUUAAUGACUUGGUAAAACUACUCAUAAAGGGUAGAACAAGAUAAAUCAUCAGAAAUUAGAGAUAUUUCGUAUUUGUGUGAUUUUUUUUUUAACCUCACUUUACAUCAUGCUGCACAAACAUCAUUAUUUACAACACAGAAAUUGUAACCUAAGAAUUAUAGUGACCUAUCAGAUAUCUGUAUCAUCAUCAAACUCAUGCUAAAUCAGAUAGGGAGGGCAAAGUAAAAUAAUAGAAGAGGUCAAUAAAAUAAUUAUACAUACCAGAUACCAUGAUAAGGAGCACUUACAGAGCAUAAUUCACAUUUUGCUAUGGAUUUACUAUUACCACUAAAUGGGAAAUAUUUCACAAUAUCCUUGACUCACCCAUGUGUGAUACAUGAUGCAAUCAAUUUCCAUGGAAAUUUGUAUCUAGCCUUUUACUAGAACAGUACUUUGAACCCCAUAUUAUUAUGCCUUGGCAAAACUCAGAAUUAAGGCUGCUUGCUGUCAAAGCAGGCUGUUUAGCACCCACAGACUGGAGAGACAAAAGGGUAUAUUACUGACACUGCUCUCUGGUGACCCUGAGGAACUCUAUUAAAAUACAGUUGCUAAGGUCAGUGGUCCUGGUCUCUGAUGACUACCCUGAAUGGCUGGGAUUUUCUUUUUUACUGAAGUGUUUGAAUCACUUAAGUUAUUAAAAAGAGAAGACUGGACUCUGGAUCCCAUAUCUCCACAUCUGCCCAGUUACAUCCCGCAGCUUCUCUGCAGACCCAGCGGUACCUUCAGUGUGAAGCACAAGCUCUCCCAAAGAGCAGAGGCUGCUUGGUCACUGCCUUGCUGCCCUUCAGUUGUGGUUAAGGAGAGGACAGAGAGGAGACAAUUUUAGCCAUUCAGUUGUUGGCUUUGCUGCCAAGCAAUGUGACCUCUGUGAUGAACUGAGCAGGUCUGACCAGCUCUGCACAGCAAGGGAUGGGCACUUUCUAUUAACUCUGCGGGUUCUGAGAGCAGCCCAGGGGAAAAGGACAAACUGCCAAUUCCUUGAAUCACUGCCCUGGCAGCUAUGGAGGGCAGGGGAGGGGAGGAGAAACAAAGUUACCCCUUUUGUUUAAUUCAAUUACUUAUGAUUAGGACAUACCUCUUACACAGUGGAAUGCUUCUCAAUGUAAUAAGCGUCAACCUGACGUGAGGAACAGUGGGUAUCUUUGUAGAGCAGGAGGGAAGGAGCUUUGUCCUGUCCUCUAAAAAAUAUGUUCUUAUGAAACCACUUGAGAACUGAGAACUUGUUUUACCUGAAGACUGGAAAGAAUAAUCCUUUUACUUUUUUUUUUUCAAUAAUUUUUUUUAUUCUUUAAUUCUCCAGCCCUCAGGCCCAAAACCACAGAAUAUUAUUGGACUGACCUGCUCCAGGUGACAUUCUGCAUGUUUAAAGGCACAAAGCUCAGAAGGAACAAUUGAGCCUGAUGAGAUUUGAAUUAAUGAGAUAAAACUUAAUUUAUAAGAUUUAGUAAGAGAUGGACACUCUGCCUUUGAAGUGCUUUGAUUGCAGAACACAGCCCAGUUUCUCAUUCUUUACCUUCUGAGGUACAUGAACUGAGCAUUGCUCAUGAAAGUGGAGAGUAAACUUUCCACAACUGGGGAAAUUCCUUAUAAUCAAGACAGCCUGGGAACUUGAACCAACAAAUGAGGGGCAGAGCAACUGUGGAAAAAGUACAGUAUCCACUCACCUGCUGCUCUGUGUACAGAAGGCCACACAUAUCACAUUCAAGGAAAGUAUCUUAUCACUUUUCUUCCACAACAGCCUCUUCCUUAGUGAGUGAUUACCUAUCAGAUUUGCUUGGGAGGCUGAUUUUUUAAAGUUUACCUGAUGAGGGCUUUUCACAUAGCAAAAAGACAGUGUGUCAUUCUUAAAUCCUCCCUCGCCUGCCCACAAAGCUCCCACAAGAAAUGUGCUUUGUUAGCUGGGAGCACUUGUUUUACAUACACUGUCUCAAUUGUCAAAAUUACAAAAAAGUUAAACCUUCUGCUGAUGUAUAUAAGGAAAACAGCAUUUCAGCCACAGAACAGCUCUGUGUUUUACAUAAGGCUUCUAAUUAUUACAAAAUUUUAAAGAGGAAGAGGCAAAAAGAAAACAGAAAUCAGUCUUUUUGGAGAAGAUAUGGAAAAAAAUCUUUUAUUUGGAUUUUGAGUCAUCUGAUAACUUAAGGCGUAGCAUAACUGAAUGUCUAGGCAAAAAACAGAUGGUGUUUUCAACCUUGCAAGAGGGUGAUGGGGGGACUUUCUAAGUUCGCUCCCAACCUAAAUUGUUUUAUGAAAAUAACGGCAUUGUACUAUUAGAAAACCACUUACUACUUUAUGCUAUUUGACUUAUAUUGUGAUGUUAUUUUAAUGUAAUAUCUGGAAUUAUUAUAUUAUACAAAACUUUAUCUCUGUUUUCAUUACAUAUAUAUAUAUGAAGACAUUUACUCAAUCAUAUGCACUACAUCUAUACCUAUGUAUAUAUAUCUAUAUCUCUGUGUAUUAACUAUAAUUAUUUAGUGUACAUACCAUUUAUUUUCAAAGUUCAUAUCCUGCAUUUAUUGUGAAUAAAUAGAACUGUAUUUCCCUAUGUUUCAUAUGCCUCCCAGAUUUCUAAUAGCCUCAGUUCCAUUUUGUUUUAGCAGACUUAUGUGCUCCAUCAUCAUAAAAGUCUGUAGAAAAUACACCAUGGAUGUAGGUAUUGUCUGUCCACUCACUGUUUUCAUGUUGCUUACAAAAGUACAGCAAACAAACCAGUAAGCAAAGAUAACACAAAUAAACUCAUUUUUAUGUUAAAGUUUUCAUAAUGUUUAUUUCUUAAAUAAGCAGUGCUAAAGAGAAGCAAAUACACACAUCAAGCCCAUUUUAGGACAUCCAUAGGAGACAAGCACAUCUCCUUGCCUUCUUAAAUUCACUGCAAAAGCUUCCUUUGACUGCAGGGGGAGCAAGAAUUUUCCUAAAGUAUUUUUGAAGCAUUUAGCUGUGUUGCCCUCACUGUGUAGCGUCUUGCUUGUUAGCUAGAUAAUUAUAUAGAACAGAAAGAAUGAACUACAUACAUAGCAUAUGAAGCACUGAGCAGUGUGUUGCCUCAGGCUGAGUCUCUGUAGAAACAAAUGUAUAAAAGAGGCUAAAGUUAGUAAUUUAAUUUCUUUGUAUUAUUAUACCAAAAAUAUAAUUUCAUACAGAAUGAACAGCCAGAUAUAAAUUUAUCUUGGAAUAACAGGAAAUUCAUAUUGUUAGAAAGGUAAUUUUUCUACUUCUGCAAUAAAUAGAUGAGUUUUAUCAGUGCUACACUGUGUUCUUCACCUGAAUAUGUAGCCUUAUGAUUUAAUCUAUGCUCCUAUUAUAUUUUGUCCUAAUAUCCUCAAUAAGGAUUAUAUAUGGACAAAUCAUUCUUUUGUAUUCAUUAGAAUCUUAUUAAACUGCAUAGAAGAAUCAAUGCAGCUUCUAGAAGUUAAUGUACUCACAGGGAUGAGUCAGAAAUAAGGUAGCUGGAACAGUUUCCACCCCAGCUCUAAGUCUGCCCCUAA